AGCAGAGAUAGCAGAGAAGACUUUAUCUUUUUUUUCUUUCUUUCUUUUUUUUUUCUGUAGCAACCAUCUUUCCUGUGAAAAAUUCCCUCUCGUACUUUAGUUCUGUGGAUCCAAAAUUUAUAGCAUUCUUCUACCACCACAGGGGCUCAUAUGACAUUAACAGACAAGACACUUUUCAGAAAGACAGGUAAGUCAUUUGUUAAAAUCUCACUACUGUUGUUUAACAGAAACAUAUAUAUGCAUGUAUAUGUGUGUACUGUAUGGAAAAAGUGGAAUUAGAGUUUAUCUAGAAAAGAAAAAAUUACCUCAUCUAAGUGCAGAAAUGAAUAAUACUUAAACCAUACCAUACAAUUCUCUAUCAUAUUUCCACAGAUAAGUCAAAAAUUUAAAAAAUCUUAUUGUUCAUGCAUAAAUGCAGAAAACAAUACCUCUAGUAUAUGUUUGUGUUCUAUUGUACUUUCACAGAAGGUGUUUGAUACUUAAUACUGUGUUUAUUAAGAAAAAUCUUUGCAAUGGUUAUGGAAUUAAAAUUUCAUGUAAAAAUGAUUAUGUAGAUCAAGAAAAGUUGCAAUUUUCUGGAUUCCUGAUAUUUUAAAUAAAAGUAGUUUCCAAAGGUGAUUUUUUUAUUAUUUUAAUUUUUAAUGGAAAUUUUCACAAUAUAACCAUCCUACAUAAUUUUAUUUUUCAACUAUUAUUUUUGUCGACUCAUUAUUUAUUAAGAAACAAUGAUUUUUAGAUACUAAUUUAUAAUUCUUAUGUUAUAAUUAAAAAUCAGAGUUCGUUGAAUAAAAUAUCUGAUUUAUGACUCC
ensembl:lncRNA NUTM2B-AS1 NUTM2B antisense RNA 1